UACGUAGGGUGCAAGCGUUGUCCGGAUUUAUUGGGCGUAAAGAGCUCGUAGGCGGUUUGUCGCGUCUGCUGUGAAAACGCGAGGCUCAACCUCGCGCCUGCAGUGGGUACGGGCAGACUAGAGUGCGGUAGGGGUGACUGGAAUUCCUGGUGUAGCGGUGGAAUGCGCAGAUAUCAGGAGGAACACCGAUGGCGAAGGCAGGUCACUGGGCCGCAACUGACGCUGAGGAGCGAAAGCAUGGGGAGCGAACAGG
rnacentral:rRNA from 1 species